CGUGCGACUGUCACGACUUCCGCCGAAGUAGGUCCCUCUCCUUGUUCAUGAGGCGUUCGACGGUCGAAGUCACCGACGUUCUAGCCAUCGCUGAUCCACGUUUCAGCGUAGCGGGACUGCCGCUACGCUGAGUCUUCUUUUGCUGGAGGGGCUGGAGACAGAACUGACACAGCGGUGGCUUUAAUGCCUCUGUUGCUACAGAGCUGUCAUCUGAUUCACCAGCAGCAUGGUAGAAAGAUGACAGUGAGCUACAGUAGAGAGUCGUGUGGUGUUGGGGUUUAGUGUCAGGAUUAACUGCCCUCAAUGGGCUGCUGGACACCAGCACUGAGGGGAGGGGAGGAGGAGAGGAGUGAAAUGAGGACAGGAGAGGAGGAGAGGAGAUGGAGAUGAGAUACACACGUUGAUCAUACUAAAGCAGUGUAUGUAGUCAUUGAUGGAUGUUUCCAGCUAACGCAGGGCCCAGAUUAAAUAGAGGGCAGUGCUCUCUCCCUUCUCCUCUCCGCUCCUGCCUCGCUCCUGUCCUCCUCCUCUCACUCCCAGAACAACGUAAAUACAAAAGGGCAAGGUUAACGUCUCAUUACAGCUUGUGCUUCAGAAUGCUAACAGAGUUUUCUUCCUCUCAGGCUGCUUGUCUAUUGCUACCUGAGACAGACGACAGAAAGUGAACUUCUCCUCUGCUCAUAUUAUUCCAAACUCUGAUCCAAUCACACGCUACCUGACUGCGCAUCUACUCAUCCACACACACACAGUUUGCCAACCGUGCAGAGUGCAGAGACACAGACACCACACUGAUGCAGUUCUAAUUAAGCAGUAUCCCACUACUCUCCCACUCCCGCUCAUAUGUUUACAUUGCCAAAGCAAGUGAAAUGGAUUUCUCUCUCUCUCUCUCUGUGCCGCGGCAGCAGACAGCUAUGGGCGACUAUGCCGUGCCGUGGCAGCAGACAGCUAUGGGCGACUAUGCCGUGCUGUGGCAGCAGACAGCUAUGGGCGACUAUGCCGUGCCGUGGCAGCAGACAGCUAUGGGCGACUAUGCCGUGCUGUGGCAGCAGACAGCUAUGGGCGACCAUGCCGUGCUGUGGCAGCAGACAGCUAUGGGCGACUAUGCCGUGCUGUGGCAGCAGACAGCUAUGGGUGACCAUGCAGUGCCGUGGCAGCAGACAGCUAUGGGCGACUAUGCCGUGCUGUGGCAGCAGACAGCUAUGGGCGACUAUGCCGUGCCGUGGCAGCAGACAGCUGUGGGCGACUAUGCCGUGCCGUGGCAGCAGACAGCUGUGUGUGACCAUGUGCCGUGGCAGCAGACAGCUGUGGGCGACCAUGCAGUGCUGUGGCAGCAGACAGCUGUGGGUGACCAUGCAGUGCCGUGGCAGCAGACAGCUGUGGGUGACCAUGCAGUGCCGUGGCAGCAGACAGCUGUGGGUGACCAUGCAGUGCCGUGGCAGCAGACAGCUGUGGGUGACUAUGCCGUGCCGUGGCAGCAGACAGCUGUGGGUGACUAUGCCGUGCCGUGGCAGCAGACAGGGUGGGUGACUAUGCAGUGCCGUGGCAGCAGACAGGGUGGGUGACUAUGCCGUGCCGUGGCAGCAGACAGGGUGGGUGACUAUGCCGUGCCGUGGCAGCAGACAGGGUGGGUGACUAUGCCGUGCCGUGGCAGCAGACAGGGUGGGCGACUAUGCCGUGCCGUGCCAGCAGACAGCUGUGGGUGACCAUGCAGUGCCGUGUCAGCAGACAGCUGUGGGUGACCAUGCAGUGCCGUGCCAGCAGACAGCUGUGGGCAACCUCAGUUGUUUAGUGACUCGUCUUCAUAAUUAAGGUUCAUCACAAUGAAGCAGCGAUCCCAUCGUCGGCCGUCUGUCUGCUUUCAGGCCAUCAGACUACAGAGCUGGAGAGGGAGGGCGGCUGGAAGAGAGGGAGAAAACGGGUGGCUGCGUGUGUGUGUUUCAAUCGAGGGUGUAUAUCAUGAUGAAAGUGUGUAAGCGUGUGUGUAUGUGUCAGAGAAAGACAGGGUGAGAGAGAGUGGGAGAGUGAGUCAGAUAGGGAAGAGAGAAUGUGUCUCUAUGAUAGAGAGAGAGAAUGUGUCUCUAUGAUAGAGAGAGAGUAUGUGUCUCUAUGAUAGAGAGAGAGAGAGAGUAUGUGUCUCUAUGAUAGAGAGAGAGAGUAUGUGUCUAUGAUAGAGAGAGUAUGUGUCUAUGAUAGAGAGAGAGAAUGUGUCUCUAUGAUAGAGAGAGAGAGUAUGUUUCUGUGAGUGUCAGAGAUUGAGGGUAUAUCUGUGUGCAUCAGAGCAGGCCCACACCAUCCACGGAGCACAUUGAUCUGAGUUGACCCAUUGCUCCAGGAGACCUGCAAUAACCAGCGGGUCUGGUGGGGAGAUAACAACAUCUUCCUAGACGAGAGGAUGACUACCAGCCAAGCAAGACAUGUUGGUCAGCCUCCACUGUCCUAUAAAACAACCAGGACUCCAUCUCUACUCCCUAAUCAUAUCCAACAUCUGAUUGGAACCUCACACCUCAUUCAAGCCCAGUCUCUCUCUCAGCAGAGUCUCUGUUUGUUAUAGUUUUAUAGUUCUGUCACGCGAGAGAGAGAUCCAAUCACCUGUUCAUAUUUGUUCUUCCUGUCACACACUCCACUCUGUCCCUCGUAUUACUGUGAGAGACAGACACGCAUUGACCUGCUUAUGUCCAUAUUAAUCAUAGUCAUCACGCUUUCUCUAUUAGAAUCUCAGCUGAUUUAAAUGCC
ensembl:lncRNA